GAAAGCAGUCACUAAUGAACAUAAUUAGAAGUUCUAAAUAUAUUUUAUUGUAAUUAUAAUAGAAGCCAAUGAUAUAAUAUUGAUUUAAAUUAAUCAAAUAAAGUGGAUUUAUACUUCAUGAACUUUGGAAGUAUAAAAUCUAGUGAGCAAUACUAAGUAAUGAAAAAGAGAAGCUAAUAAGACAACUAUAAAUAU